rnacentral:rRNA from 1 species
UACAGAGAGUGCGAACGUUGUUCGGAAUUACUGGGCUUAAAGCGCACGUAGGCGGUUCUGUAAGUGUCAGGUGAAAUCCCUCGGCUCAACUGAGGAACUGCCUUUGAAACUGUCGGGCUCGAGGCCGGGAGGGGGUAGGGGAAUUCCCAGUGUAGCGGUGAAAUGCGUAGAUAUUGGGAGGAACACCGGUGGCGAAGGCGGCUACCUGGACCGGUACUGACGCUGAGGUGCGAAAGCGUGGGUAGCAAACAGG